rnacentral:rRNA from 1 species
AUUGAACGCUGGCGGCAGGCCUAACACAUGCAAGUCGAGCGCGCGGCGGAGGGGUGUGUAAUGUCUGGGAAAAUGCCUGAUGGAGGGGGAUAACUACUGGAAACGGUAGCUCAUACCCCAUACCAUCAUAUGUGACCAGAUGGGGUUAGCUAGUAGGUGGGGUAACGGCUCACCUAGCCGACGAUCCCUAGCUAGUCUGAGAGGAUGACCAGACACACUGGAACGGAGACACGGCCCAGAAUCCUACGUGAGGCAGCAGUGGGGAAUAUUGCGCAAUGGGCGCAACCCUGAGGCAGCCAUGCCGCGUGUGUGAAGAAGGCCUUCGGGUUGUAAAGCACUUUCAGCGGCGAGGCGUUACCCGCAGAAGAAGCACCGGCUAACUCCGUGCCAGCAGCCGCGGUAAUUC